AGCCGUGGCACUGUCAAGUCAUCAGACGCGGUGAUUGCGAGGCCUGUGGGAAAGUACAAAAGCCUGGGCUAGAUUACCCCUCUCAUCGAGCCCGCCUGUGUGGCACCUGUUUCUUAUCACCCCACUAAGUUCCCGCCUCACAGGGUAGUCUGCCUAGCUAUUAAUCCUAUAUAUAGCCAGUGCCUCCACCCCCGAGAGAGAGAGAGACUGAAACACAAAAGGAGCCGCGGGGAGCGGACCGGUAGAGGCUUCGGGGGAGACUGAAGCACAAAAGGAGCCGCGGGGAGCGGACCGGUAGAGGCUUCGGGGGAGACUGAAGCACAAAAGGAGCCGCGGAGAGCGGACCAGAGGAGGCUUCGGGGCAGACUGUAUAAGGAGAGAAUAAAGAAAAGCCUGACCACCGCCAGACCUUGUCGUGUGUCUUUCCUGCCGGCCGGGAGCGGACAUCGACAUUUGGAGGCCCGCACGGGGAUUGAUCAACCCCGAGACGCGGCGGUGGACUGCAUUCUCCUACACAGUGCUGCAGCUGCAGGACAGGAAUCGGGACGAGAGCCAAUGUGGGUCCCAGAGAGGUUGACGCGACAAGUCCCUCGACUGAAGAUCAGGCCUGUUCCACCAGAGGCCAAAAGCAGACCCAACAACAAGAUGAGCCCUAAAAGAACUGCAGGACAAUCCCUUUUUGGGGGCCUGGAACGGCUUGCUCCCCUAUGUGCUACCCUUGUAUACGCAUGGCUCGCUCGCAUGGCCUACGACCGCGUUUAAAAGUGACAGGCUUCCCACAUUCUCCUCCCUAGACAACAACAUGUAGCAGGGUGGGUGAGUCAAUGACGGGUAAGAGCGUGCCUCCCCAGCACGACUCAACCUAAGCCAGGCCCUACCCCGUUCCGCUCGAAAGCCGCUGGAUUGUUAGAUAAAUUUCUCUCCGAGGGGAUUCGUGGAGAGAAAUGAGUGCAUGCCUAUGUGCAACCAGGUUCCGUCCGGUUCAUUCCUGGCCCUAGAAAAAAGGACGAGGGCCUCAGGGCCUUGGUGGACCCUGGGACGGCCGACCAGGGUCUACGCUAAGGGCCUACGGUGGGCCUCAGUUCGGGGCAUAGGCCUCUGCACUCUAUCCAGGACGGGCUGCGAUGCGCGUAGCCAUCAUUUAAAAUAAAAUAGGGGGAGAUGUUGGGAGCCGUGGCACUGUCAAGUCAUCAGACGCGGUGAUUGCGAGGCCUGUGGGAAAGUACAAAAGCCUGGGCUAGAUUGCCCCUCUCAUCGAGCCCGCCUGUGUGGCACCUGUUUCUUAUCACCCCACUAAGUUCCCGCCUCACAGGGUAGUCUGCCUAGCUAUUAAUCCUAUAUAUAGCCAGUGCCUCCACCCCCGAGAGAGAGAGAGACUGAAGCACGCAAGGAGCCGCGGGGAGCGGACCGGUAGAGGCUUCGGGGCAGACUGAAGCACGGAAGGAGCCGCGGAGAGCGGACCGGUAGAGGCUUCGGGGCAGACUGUAUAAGGAGAGAAUAAAGAAAAGCCUGACCACCGCCA